CGGGGGGAGCAAGCGUUGUUCGGAUUUACUGGGCGUAAAGGGCGCGUAGGCGGCCACCGCAAGUCGACUGUGAAAUCUCCGGGCUUAACCCGGAAAGGUCAGCCGAUACUGCGGGGCUAGAGUGCAGAAGGGGCAACUGGAAUUCUCGGUGUAGCGGUGAAAUGCGUAGAUAUCGAGAGGAACACCUGCGGCGAAGGCGGGUUGCUGGGCUGACACUGACGCUGAGGCGCGAAAGCUAGGGGAGCGAACGGGAUUAGAUACCCCGGUAGUCCUAGCCUUAAACGAUGAAUGCUUGGUGUCUGGGGUUAUAUAGUCCCCGGGUGCCGUCGCUAACGCUUUAAGCAUUCCGCCUGGGGAGUACGGUCGCAAGACUG
rnacentral:rRNA from 1 species